rnacentral:tRNA from 1 species
GUCAGGAUGGCCGAGCAGUCUUAAGGCGCUGCGUUCAAAUCGCAGCCUCCGCUGGAGGCUGGGUUCGAAUCCCACUUUUGACA